GAUGAACGCUGGCGGCGUGCCUAAUACAUGCAAGUCGAGCGAAGCGGGGACGGGUGAGUAACACGUAGAUAACCUCCUAUAAGACUGGGGUAACUUCGGGAAACCGGAGCUAAACCGGAUACUUGUUGGUGGAUCCGCGCUGCAUUAGCUAGUUGGUAAGGUAACGGCGUACCAAGGCCACGAUGGAUAGCCGACCUGAGAGGGAGAUUGGCCAACCUGGAACUGAGACACGGCCCAGACUCCGAAGGGAGGCAGCAGUAGGGAAUCUUACGCAAUGGGGGAAAGCCUGACGGAGCAACGCCGCGUGAGUGAUGAAGGUCUUCGGAUCGGAAAACUCUGUUAUUAGUGAAGCGGUACCUAAUCAGAAAGCCACGGCUAACUACGUGCCAGCAGCCGCGGUAAUAC
rnacentral:rRNA from 1 species